rnacentral:sRNA from 1 species
GCAAAAAAUGCGGAUGGCUUUUAACCAUGUGGUCGUGGGUUCGAGUCCCAC